rnacentral:ncRNA from 1 species
GCAAAGUAGAAUUCUGUGCGUCCAGUGAGAAAGUGAAACUCAAAAGUGCCUGCCGAAUGGGGAGUUGUCGGUGGGACGAAUAGCGAAAAAAGCUAACGAUACAGAAUUUGCAUCCCAUUG